GAUGAACGCUGGCGGCGUGCCUAAUACAUGCAAGUCGAGCGAACAGACGAGGAGCUUGCUCCUCUGACGUUAGCGGCGGACGGGUGAGUAACACGUGGAUAACCUACCUAUAAGACUGGGAUAACUUCGGGAAACCGGAGCUAAUACCGGAUAAUAUAUUCAACCGCAUGGUUCAAUAGUGAAAGACGGUUUUGCUGUCACUUAUAGAUGGAUCCGCGCCGCAUUAGCUAGUUGGUAAGGUAACGGCUUACCAAGGCAACGAUGCGUAGCCGACCUGAGAGGGUGAUCGGCCACACUGGAACUGAGACACGGUCCAGACUCCUACGGGAGGCAGCAGUAGGGAAUCUUCCGCAAUGGGCGAAAGCUUGACGGAGCAACGCCGCGUGAGUGAUGAAGGUCUUCGGAUCGUAAAACUCUGUUAUUAGGGAAGAACAAAUGUGUAAGUAACUAUGCACGUCUUGACGGUACCUAAUCAGAAAGCCACGGCUAACUACGUG
rnacentral:rRNA from 1 species